UACGGAGGGUGCGAGCGUUGUCCGGAAUCAUUGGGCGUAAAGGGCGCGUAGGUGGCCCCUCAAGCGUGCGGUGAAAGUCAGGGGCUCAACCCCUGAUCGGCCGUGCGAACUGGGGAGCUUGAGCACUGUAGAGGCAGGCGGAAUUCCGGGUGUAGCGGUGGAAUGCGUAGAGAUCCGGAAGAACACCGGUGGCGAAGGCGGUUAGCUGGGCAGUUGCUGGACACUGAGGCGCGACAGCGUGGGGAGCAAACAGGG
rnacentral:rRNA from 1 species